rnacentral:rRNA from 1 species
UACGAAGGGAGCUAGCGUUGUUCGGAAUUACUGGGCGUAAAGGGCGUGUAGGCGGUACCAUAAGUCAGAUGUGAAAGCCCUAGGCUUAACCUAGGAGGUGCAUUUGAUACUGUGGAACUAGAGAUCGAGAGAGGAAAGUGGAAUUACGAGUGUAGAGGUGAAAUUCGUAGAUAUUCGUAAGAACACCAGUGGCGAAGGCGGCUUUCUGGCUCGAUACUGACGCUAAGGCGCGAAAGCGUGGGGAGCAAACAGG